AGGCCCCACACCUGUGCAUGGCCUGCAUCCGAAGCCCCUCCUCGAUACUGGAGCUCAGCGCCUGCUGGUUGUGCAGGCGGCUGAGGCGGAUGAGCACCCGGUCCUGAUGGGCCUCAUAUUCCUCCCGGCUAGGAUAGAUUUUGGAGAUCAGAGCGUCGAAGUUGGGGUCCGGCCGCAGGGACCGCUUGGAUACCAGCUUUUUCCGGCAGGGCAGUGACGAUGCAGUCCGAGCAGAACCUGUGCAGGCACUCCUUGGUGGUCAUUGUGUUCUUCAGCAUGUCCAGACAGAUGGGACACAUGAGCUCCGAAUGCAGUGACCGAGGCGAAACCGCAAUCUCUGUACCAUCCAUGAUGGCUUCCUGGGUCAUCAGCAGGCAGCAGUGGCGGGAGAGGGAAAGGGAACUUUAGAGGCAAGCUUUGAGAAAGACAGGGUCUCCAUAGGCAUGUAGUCCUGGCAGGCCUCUAACCAGACUGACCUCCCUGCUUCAGGAGUGCCGGGGUUAAAGGAUCCGGCCAUCCAUCAGAUCCGGCCUCAACAGGCUUUCUUAAAACUCUAAAGAGCAAGACUCCCUAAGACUCCAAGCUCAGGGUGCCUGUUAAGACAGACUCCGACGUCGUCCCAGCGCACGUGAGUCGGAAUACUGGAGAGGGAAUCCUAGUUAAGCUCGCAGGAUGAAUAUAUGUGUACACUGACACGUGGCUGUUGAGACGAGCCAGGGACGGCAAGUUCUGGCGCCUGUUUACCGUGCUUGAAUUAAGACACUAAUAUCUGCUGUACCUCUCUGUCGUGGCCGCUUUGAGGGGUUAAAUCGGAUCGAA